CUCCAUGAAGCUGGAUUCGCUAGUAAUCGCGCAUCAGCCACGGCGCGGUGAAUACGUUCCCGGGCCUUGUACACACCGCCCGUCAAGCCAUGGGAGUCGGGAGUGCCUGAAGUGCGUGAGCGCGAGCAGCGCCCUAGGGCAAAACCGAUGACUGGGGCUAAGUCGUAACAAGGUACC
rnacentral:rRNA from 1 species